rnacentral:siRNA from 1 species
GAGACUGCAUUGGUUCCUCA